AUCCCACCAAUCGGAUUGUCCUGCGAGUUCGAGGGCGGGGCUCAAAGGGAGGCGCCGCCCGGGUUUCUUUGUACCACGUGAUUCCCGCUAUACUGUAUUGCAAAACACGAAGGGGGAAAAGCAGUCAAUGAUUCCAGGGGCGGGGUUUUCAAGCAAUGUUUUUCUUUCCUGUUUAUAUUGAUAGUCUACAAAGCGAGAAUCUGCAGAUCUUUUUUUUUUAAUUAAUAUAUGACAUCUCGUUCAGCCUAAUUCAUUUUCCAUUCAGCAUGCUUCAACUGUGUUAAAUGCCACCCUCUGGUGCCAAACGUCUUUCAAUUCUUCUGUCACUGGCCAUGGACACACAGAGGAAGGAAAAGAAGGCACGGCAACGCAGCCACAGCCAGGGCCUCGGGAAAUGGAACAACAUUGGAAAGCAGAUUCACAUUUGAAUAGUGGGUGAAAUGAUCAGCUACACUUUCUCAAAAACAAGAAUAACCCCAAAGUAGGGAGACCUAAACUGUACACAACGCUCCAGUCUCAGGAAAAGCCUGUGGUGUGUGAUUCAGCAAUGCCCAGGAUCUGAGGACAUCUGAAGUCAGGAUCUAUCUGCAUGUGUCCAGAAACAAAUGAAGGCGACAGAUAUUGG